CCUGCCCCUAGAGGCCUUGCAGGAAUGGCUGCUGUAUAACAAGUGUGUCAGUAUGUGGCAGGGAGGAGAGAGCCUACAUCUACACUCAGGGUGCUGACCUGUGAAUAUUGAGUGUUUAGUAGCCUAACAUU
ensembl:snoRNA